UACGUAGGGGGCAAGCGUUGUCCGGAUUUAUUGGGCGUAAAGAGCUCGUAGGCGGUUUGUUGCGUCUAUCGUGAAAACCUGCAGCUUAACUGUGGGCUUGCGGUGGAUACGGGCAGACUUGAGUUCGGUAGGGGAGACUGGAAUUCCUGGUGUAGCGGUGAAAUGCGCAGAUAUCAGGAGGAACACCGGUGGCGAAGGCGGGUCUCUGGGCCGAUACUGACGCUGAGGAGCGAAAGCGUGGGGAGCGAACGGG
rnacentral:rRNA from 1 species